AGUAACUAUAAUUAAUUACUUUUUCAAAGUAACUUGCCCAACACUGGUUGUAGCUUAAAUCACUAGAGUUUAUUAGCAAGGACCUGACUUUAUUAUUUUAGUUUGUUAAAAAUUUCUAUUCCUCUUGUGGCCGAAUUUGGCUUCAGUGUUUGUAAGUCAGUGUCCAGCAGCAGUCUGUAUUCAGUUUGAAUAUUGCUGUAAAUUGAUAUGGAUCAGUUUAUGCCUUUUAUUAACUGUAACAUUUAACUUUUGGGUGACAGCACAAGGGAACAGAGAAUGAGAGAGCAAGAUGAAAACGGCAAAGAGAGAGAGCAAAAAUAAACAGUUGAGUGGGGAGGAAGAAGAGAGAGAUGUUGUACAGGAACAGGAAGGAGAGAGCAGAUAGUAAAGUUAGGUGAAAAAAAAAUAUUUUUCACAAACUAAUUCUUUGUGUAUUUCAAGGAUGCUCAGUAGCAAAAAAAAAAAAAAA